AACGAACGCUGGCGGCAGGCUUAACACAUGCAAGUCGAACGCCCCGCAAGGGGAGUGGCAGACGGGUGAGUAACGCGUGGGAAUCUACCCAGAACUUCGGAACAACUGAGGGAAACUUCAGCUAAUACCGGAUACGCCCUACGGGGGAAAGAUUUAUCGGUUCUGGAUGAGCCCGCGUUGGAUUAGCUAGUUGGUGAGGUAAAGGCUCACCAAGGCGACGAUCCAUAGCUGGUCUGAGAGGAUGAUCAGCCACACUGGAACUGAGACACGGUCCAGACUCCUACGGGAGGCAGCAGUAGGGAAUAUUGGACAAUGGGGGCAACCCUGAUCCAGCCAUGCCGCGUGAGUGAAGAAGGCCCUCGGGUUGUAAAGCUCUUUUGUCCGGAAAGAAAAGCAAUCGGUUAAUACCCGGUUGUUCUGACGGUACCGGAAGAAUAAGCACCGGCUAACUUCGUG
rnacentral:rRNA from 1 species